rnacentral:rRNA from 1 species
CCUACGGGAGGCAGCAGUAGGGAAUAUUGCUCAAUGGGGGAAACUCUGAACCAGCAACGCCGCGUGGAGGAUGAAGGUUUUAGGAUUGUAAACCCCUUUUGUUAGAGAAGAUAAUGACGGUAUGUCACGACUACUCCCCGGCUAACUCCGUGCCAGCCACCGCGGUAUUACGGAGGGUGCAAGCGUUACUCGGAAUCACUGGGCGUAAAGAGUGCGCAGGCGGGUUGGUAAGUCAGAUGUGAAAUCCUGUAGUUUAACUACAGAACUGCAUUUGAAACUGGGAGUCUAGAGUGUGGGAGAGGUAGGUGGAAUUCUUGGUGUAGAGGUAAAAGCCGUAGAUAUCAAGAGGAAUA